rnacentral:rRNA from 1 species
GUGGGGAAUAUUGCACAAUGGGCGCAAGCCUGAUGCAGCAACGCCGCGUGAGGGACGACGGCCUUCGGGUUGUAAACCUCUUUUAGCAGGGAAGAAGCGAAAGUGACGGUACCUGCAGAAAAAGCACCGGCUAACUACGUGCCAGCAGCCGCGGUAAUACGUAGGGUGCAAGCGUUGUCCGGAAUUAUUGGGCGUAAAGAGCUCGUAGGCGGUUUGUCGCGUCUGCUGUGAAAACCCGAGGCUCAACCUCGGGCCUGCAGUGGGGACGGGCAGACUAGAGUGCGGUAGGGGAGAUUGGAAUUCCUGGUGUAGCGGUGGAAUGCGCAGAUAUCAGGAGGAACACCGAUGGCGAAGGCAGAUCUCUGGGCCGUAACUGACGCUGAGGAGCGAAAGCGUGGGGAGCGAACAGGAUUAGAAACCCGUGUAGUCC